AGCAGCCGCGGUAAUUCCAGCUCCAAUAGCGUAUAUUAAAGUUGUUGCAGUUAAAAAGCUCGUAGUUGAAUUUCGGGGUUAGUAGGUUGGUCAUGCCUCUGGUAUGUACUGGUCUCACUGAUUCCUCCUUCCUGAUGAGCCGUAAUGCCAUUAAUUUGGUGUUGCGGGGAAUUUGGACUGUUACUUUGAAAAAAUUAGAGUGUUUAAAGCAGGCUCACGCUUGAAUACAUUAGCAUGGAAUAAUGAAAUAGGACGUUUGAUUCUAUUUUGUUGGUUUCUAGGAUCGACGUAAUGAUUAAUAGGGAUAGUUGGGGGCAUUAGUAUUCAAUUGUCAGAGGUGAAAUUCUUGGAUUUAUUGAAGACUAACUACUGCGAAGGCAUUUGCCAAGGAUGUUUUCAUUAAUCAAGAACGAAAGUUAGGGGAUCGAAGACGAUCAGAUACCGUCGUAGUCUUAACCAUAAACUAUGCCGACUAGGAAUCAGACGAUGUUAAUUUUUUAAUGACUCG
rnacentral:rRNA from 1 species